GACGAACGCUGGCGGCGUGCCUAAUACAUGCAAGUCGUGCGGACCUUUUAAAAGCUUGCUUUUAAAAGGUUAGCGGCGGACGGGUGAGUAACACGUGGGCAACCUGCCUGUAAGACUGGGAUAACGCCGGGAAACCGGGGCUAAUACCGGAUCGUUUUUCCUCCGCAUGGAGGCAAAAGGAAAGGCGGCUUCGGCUGCCACUUACAGAUGGUCCCGCGGCGCAUUAGCUAGUUGGCGGGGUAACGGCCCACCAAGGCAACGAUGCGUAGCCGACCUGAGAGGGUGAUCGGCCACAAUGGGACUGAGACACGGCCCAAACUCCUACGGGAGGCAGCAGUAGGGAAUCAUCCGAAAUGGACGAAAGGCUGAAGGAGCAACGCCGCGGGAGUGAAGAAGGCCUUCGGGUCGUAAAACUCUGUUGGCGGGGAAGAACAAGUGGCGGUCGAACAGGGCGGCGCCUUGACGGUACCCGGCCAGAAAGCCACGGCUAACUACGUG
rnacentral:rRNA from 1 species